GAAAUGCGAUAAGUAAUGUGAAUUGCAGAAUUCAGUGAAUCAUCGAGUCUUUGAACGCACAUUGCGCCCCCUGGUAUUCCGGGGGGCAUGUCUGUCCGAGCGUCAUUGCUGCCCUCAAGCACGGCUUGUGUGUUGGGCCCCGUCCCCUCCCCCGGGGACGGGCCCGAAAGGCAGCGGCGGCACCGCGUCCGAUCCUCGAGCGUAUGGGGCUUUGUCACCCGCUCUGUAGGCCCGGCCGGCGCCAGCCGACACCCAACUUUUAUUUCUAAGGUUGACCUCGGAUCAGGUAGGGAUACCCGCUGAACUUAAGC
rnacentral:misc_RNA from 1 species